rnacentral:rRNA from 1 species
UAGUCCACGCCGUAAACGAUGAUAACUAGCUGUCCGGGCACUUGGUGCUUGGGUGGCGCAGCUAACGCAUUAAGUUAUCCGCCUGGGGAGUACGGCCGCAAGGUUAAAACUCAAAGGAAUUGACGGGGGCCUGCACAAGCGGUGGAGCAUGUGGUUUAAUUCGAAGCAACGCGCAGAACCUUACCAGCGUUUGACAUGGUAGGACGACUGGCAGAGAUGCCUUUCUUCCCUUCGGGGACCUACACAC